GAUGAACGCUGGCGGCGUGCCUAAUACAUGCCAGUCGAGCGAACGGACGAGAAUCUUGCUUCUCUGAUGUUAGCGGCGGACGGGUGAGUAACACGUGGAUAACCUACCUAUAAGACUGGGAUAACGUCGGGAAACCGGAGCUAAUACCGGGUAAUAUUUUUAACCGCAUGGUUCAAAAGUGAAAGACGGUCUUGCUGUCACUGAUAGAUGGAUCCGCGCUGCAUUAGCUAUUUGGUAAGGUAACGGCUUACGAAGGCAACGAUGCAUAGCCGACCUGAGAGGGUGAACGGCCACACUGGAACUGAGACACGGUCCAGACUCCUACGGGAGGCCGCAGUAGGGACUCUUCCGAAAUGGGCGAAAGCCUGACGGAGCAACGCCGCGUGAGUGAUGAAGGUCUUCGUAUCGUAAAACUCUGUUAUUAGGGAAGAACAUAUGUGUAAGUAACUGUGCACAUCUUGACGGUACCUAAAUAGAAAGCCACGGCUAACUACGUG
rnacentral:rRNA from 1 species